GGAGCCGUAGCGAAAGCGAGUUUUAACUGAGCGUUCAGUUACUUGACGUAGACCCGAAACCGGGCGACCUACCCAUGAGCAGGAUGAAGCGAAAGUAAAAUUUCGUGGAGGUCCGAACCCACGAGCGUUGAAAAGCUCGGGGAUGACUUGUGGGUAGCGGUGAAAUUCCAAUCGAGCCCGGAGAUAGCUGGUUCUCCCCGAAAUAGCUUUAGGGCUAGCCUCAAGGUGAGAGAUACGGAGGUAGAGCACUGAAUGUCCUAGGGGGUAUUGCACCUACCGAAGACUAUCAAACUCCGAAUGCCGUCAUCUUAUACUUGGGAGUCAGACUGUGGGUGAUAAGAUUCAUAGUCGAAAGGGCAACAGCCCAGAUCGUCAGCUAAGGUCCCUAAAUGUAAGUUAAGUGGUAAAGGAUGUGGGAUUGCACAGACAACCAGGAUGUUGGCUUAGAAGCAGCCACUCAUUCAAAGAGUGCGUAAUAGCUCACUGGUCGAGUGAUCCUGCGCCGAAGAUUUCCGGGGCUAAAACUUACUACCGAAGCUACGGCAUCAGUAAUGAUGGGUAGGGGAGCUUCCCAUACGGGUUGAAGCAUGACCGUAAGGACAUGUGGACAGUAUGGGAGUGAGAAUGUUGGCAUGAGUAGCGAGAUGUGGGUGAGAAUCCCACAGGCCGUAAACCCAAGGUUUCCAGGGGAAGGUUCGUCCGCCCUGGGUUAGUCGGGACCUAAGCUGAGGCCGAAAGGCGUAGGUGAUGGACAACAGGUUGAUAUUCCUGUACUACCGAUAACC
rnacentral:rRNA from 1 species